CCUACGGGGGGCUGCAGUGGGGAAUAUUGACAAUGGGGGCAACCCUGAUCCAGCCAUGCCGCGUGUGUGAAGAAGGCCCUCGGGUUGUAAAGCACUUUCAGUGAGGAAGAACGCCUGGUGGUUAAUACCCAUCAGGAAAGACAUCACUCACAGAAGAAGCACCGGCUAACUCCGUGCCAGCAGCCGCGGUAAUACGGAGGGUGCGAGCGUUAAUCGGAAUUACUGGGCGUAAAGCGCGCGUAGGUGGCUUGAUAAGCCGGUUGUGAAAGCCCCGGGCUCAACCUGGGAACGGCAUCCGGAACUGUCAAGCUAGAGUGCAGGAGAGGAAGGUAGAAUUCCCGGUGUAGCGGUGAAAUGCGUAGAGCUCGGGAGGAAUACCAGUGGCGAAGGCGGCCUUCUGGACUGACACUGACACUGAGGUGCGAAAGCGUGGGUAGCAAACAGGAUUAGAUACCCUGGUAGUC
rnacentral:rRNA from 1 species